CCCUUAGAUGUUCUGGGCCGCACACGUGCUACACUGAAGGAGGCAGCGUGUACUCCUGGAUCGAAAGAUUUGGGUAACCCGCGAAUCUCCUUCGUGCUAGGGAUUGAGGUUUGCAAUUAUCCUUCAUGAACGAGGAAUUCCCAGUAAGUGCAAGUCAUAAGCUUGCGCUGACUACGUCCCUGCCCUUUGUACACACCGCCCGUCGCUACUACCGAUUGAAUGAUUUAGUGAGGACUUCGGACUGGGACCGAUGCGGCUUUCGGGCUGCGUCGGUAUUCUGGAAAGAUGUCCAAACUGUAUCAUUUAGAGGAAGUAAAANUCGUAACA
rnacentral:rRNA from 1 species